GCCUCUGUCUGAAGUGUAAGGCGGACUCUGAACUAGGAGGGACGCAGAGCAGAGGGAAGCAGCCUUCCCGUAUCUCCUACAGACAGCUCUUCUUCCAGAGCCUAGGACAGAGGGCAGACCGGAGCUCGUUUGGAUCCCUUAGGACACAAGUCUUCCCCAACCACAGGACCCCCACCAAAGUGGCCUUCUCUGGAAAUUCCCCUCCCAGGCCUCAGUGCUGGGUAACUUGGUCUUCCCUCGCUCCUGCUCCAGCGCCUAUCACCCAGAAGGACACAGCAAGAAGGCAUCCAUCCGCAAGCCAGAGAGAGAGACUUCACGAGAACCCAGCCAUGCUGGCAAAGCUGAUCUUGGAUUUCCAGGCUCCAAAACUGUAAGAAAAUAAACUUCUGUUGCUUAAGCCACCCAGUCUGUGGUAUUUUGUUAUGGCAGUGUGAGCUACG